rnacentral:rRNA from 1 species
CUACGGGAGGCUGCAGUGGGGAAUAUUGGACAAUGGGGGAAACCCUGAUCCAGCAAUGCCGCGUGUGUGAAGAAGGCCUGCGGGUUGUAAAGCACUUUCGGUUGGGAGGACUGCUUCUAGCACUAAUAUUGUUGGAAGUUGACGUUACCUUCAGAAGAAGCACCGGCUAACUCCGUGCCAGCAGCCGCGGUAAUAGCGGAGGGUGCAAGCGUUAAUCGGAAUUACUGGGCGUAAAGCGCGUGUAGGCGGCUAGAUCAGUCGGGUGUGAAAGCCCCGGGCUUAACCUGGGAACUGCAUCCGAUACUGUCUAGCUUGAGUACAGGAGAGGAGAGUGGAAUUCCACAUGUAGCGGUGAAAUGCGUAGAUAUGUGGAGGAACACCAAUGGCGAAGGCAGCUCUCUGGCCUGAUACUGACGCUGAGGUGCGAAAGCGUGGGGUGCAAACGGGAUUAGAUACCCCAGUAGUC